rnacentral:rRNA from 1 species
CAGUCGCCGCGGUAAUACGAAGGGUGCAAGCGUUAAUCGGAAUUACUGGGCGUAAAGCGUGCGUAGGCGGUGAGUUAAGUCUGCUGUGAAAUCCCCGGGCUCAACCUGGGAAUGGCAGUGGAUACUGGCUCGCUAGAGUGUGUCAGAGGAUGGUGGAAUUCCCGGUGUAGCGGUGAAAUGCGUAGAGAUCGGGAGGAACAUCAGUGGCGAAGGCGGCCAUCUGGGACAACACUGACGCUGAGGCACGAAAGCGUGGGGAGCAAACAGGAUUAGAUCCCCCGUAGUCCCUGUCUCUUAUACA